rnacentral:sRNA from 1 species
GAUCUGGUGGGAGGGAACAUCUGGAACAUUAGACAGCAUGCUGAUCUUCUGGACAAUCACACUUUUCCUGCUGGGAGCAGCCAAAGGAAAAGAAGUUUGCUAUGAGGACCUCGGGUGCUUUUCUGACACUGAGCCCUGGGGCGGGACAGCAAUCAGGCCCCUGAAAAUUCUCCCCUGGAGCCCUGAGAAGAUCGGCACCCGCUUCCUGCUGUACACCAAUGAAAACCCAAACAACUUUCAAAUUCUCCUCCUCUCUGAUCCAUCAACAAUUGAGGCAUCAAAUUUUCAAAUGGACAGAAAGACCCGGUUCAUCAUCCAUGGCUUCAUAGACAAAGGAGAUGAGAGCUGGGUGACAGACAUGUGCAAGAACUGUUCGAGCUGGAGGAGGUGAACUGCAUCUGCGUGGACUGGAAGAAGGGCUCCCAAACCACCUACACACAGGCUGCCAACAACGUGCGAGUGGUGGGCGCCCAGGUGGCCCAGAUGCUCGACAUCCUCUUGGUGAGUCAGCUGCCUGGGCUAUGUGAGGAGGGAAGCAGUGCCUGCUGGUCUCUGUUUGGUAGAGAUGCAGCUGAGAGUUAUGGAUUAAAGAAGGACAAAGAAUUGAUAUCCAGACCUUACUUCUAAAACUCUGAAAUUUGCCUUCAUAAUGACAUGCCAGUGGAAGCAAAAAUAAGAAUCGCUAACACUUAGAAAGUGUUUUUUUAAAAAUCAUCUUCAAUUUACAGAUAAAGAAACUGAGGCCCAGAAAGUUUAACUAGUUUGCUCCCAAAGUCAUAAAGCAAAUGAAUAGAAGAGCUGCCUUUUGAUCCAGACCAUCUAGCUUCAGAAUUCACCCACAACACCAGGUGGGCUCU